AUUCGAUCUAGUUGGCGUGGGGUUUGCCGUACACGUAUACAGCUAGCAAUUCGGUUUUUCGAACCUCAGUCGUAACUUGGGACAGUCGGAACACACAUCAGACAAAAUAUUAUUCAAAAUUCUUACAAAUAAGUUAGUUCUGUUAAAUUUAUUGUGAGUUGCGAUUAAAGUCGGAAAGUCGGCGGUUACGGCUUUUUGGCGGCCCGCGUGUUUGUCGAAUGGAUGUGGCCCUCCUAUCUGGCUUUAAACUAAUGCCGGGGGCAGCCUGUCGACAGCCAACCACCUUGCCACGCCCCACACCCCACGCCUUGUAAUGACGUCAUAGUGCACGCGGUUCGGCCGAUUGAAAGAUCGAGUUAAUCUGAGGAGGAACUCCUGGUUCUUUCUUUCGUUGCCAGAGUGAAAUUGUAAAUUAAAUACACGUCCUGGUUGAUACAUUUUUGCUCGUUGACAACCAUAAAAUGACAGUAGGCAAGGGACACAGUCAUUGUGAUUGUUGCCACCGUUCCGUUACGUGUGCAGCCUAAUGGGGCAAUGAGUGGGGUUGUGGGCUAAGGAGUGUUCCAUCCUGGUUGCAUAGCAGGUCUUGGGAUUUACGACCAGCUUGUGUCAAGCCAAGCCAAGCCAGAUGUAAAGAACCGAUUUUUUCUAUUGUUGCUCGCCACUAAUUGCAAUGGCUAGCCCCACCAAAUUUAUGAUUUGUGUGAUUGCCUGACCAAGGAAAAGGACUCUUGGAUUAUGAUGUCCGUUGGAUCUGCUUUAGCCUGCUCCUCGCGCUUAGCUGCUUUCCUUAUUUCUUCAUCCCGCUGACGGUUACUGCCAAUACUCUGGCUGUGUUAGACAAUAACGGCGGUCCUGCUUCUGCUGAUUUGGAUCCAUAUUCUGUGGUUCUUGUGCUACUUAUUGCAGUAAGUAAGCCUCUUGAUAGUGUUCGUGGGCUUGCGUACCAUACGCAAGUAAAACGCUAACAUAGAAUAAGUUCUGUGUUAGCGAUAUAUUUGCGUAUGGUACGCAAGCCCGCGCACGCUUUCCAGAGGCUUACUUACUGCAAUAAGUACCACAACCAACCACAGAAUAAGGAGCCAAAUCAUCAGAAGCCGGCCCGCCGUCAUUGUCAAACACAGCCAGAGUAUUGGCAGCCGGAUUAUUGCCAGUUUUUGGACGGAUCUCCGCCGUUGGUGUGGAACAAAAAGGAUGUGCCAGAGAACAAACUGACCUUCAAGUCGAAACCGUACUUGCUCUCUACAGUGAUGGUUGCUUCUAUCGCGCCCAAAUAAUCGAUGAAUUUCCCAAUGAGUAAAUGAUCUUCUAUGUGGAUUACGGCAACACGGAGUUCGUGUCCCUGAACUGCUUGGCUCCAUGUGAAAACGUGGACAGCUUGAAGCCCCAUCGCAGCGUUAGUUUUCACAUUGAGGGAAUUGUAAGGUCAAAAUAUCUGACACACCAAACGACAAUGGAUUGCAUUGAGUAUCUCAAGAGUAAGCUGCUAAACACGGAGAUGAAUGUACACCUGGUACAGCGCCUGCCGGAUGGCUUCCUAAUUCGCUUCCUGGACGAUGGGAAAGAUAUACCUAAACAGCUAUUGCGACGCAACUACGCCCAGAUGGAAGAGUGAUUACUCACCGUAGUAUGUUUUCCAACUCUUCGCGCGACAAUGAAAAGCUUCAUCUUUGGCGGUUAGUUACAAAGGCGAAAGCAGUGUGCCCAGGCACAUUUGGGUUAACAAGUUCCAGUUCAUUUCGAAAAUACUAAUUACGUCUAUCAAUAACAUUUUUCGAUGGGCGACACAGUUGAUUGUUUAUUAAUAGAAAAAUUUGUAAAUUGUGUAUAUAUAUAUACUACUAGGUAACACUAAUAUCGAUAGAAUUAAUUGUUAAGUCUUAAGAACAAACGAUCGUGUGAUCGAGAUUGACGAGUUUGAAUUGAGAGCUUAAAAGAGAAACAAAGUGAUUAAAAAGAUUGUUACAGACCAACACAACACUAAUAAAGCAGGAAUACAAUGGAA